rnacentral:rRNA from 1 species
GACAUGCAAGUCGAACGGGCUGUUUAUGCAGCCAGUGGCGGACGGGUGAGUAACACGUAGUGUGACCUACCCCAAAGUCUGGGACAACUAGGAGAAAUCUUAGCUAAUCCUGGAUGUGGACAUCUACUUUGGUGGAUGUUUAAAGCUUCGGCGCUUUGGGAUGGGCCUGCGGCGCAUCAGGUAGUUGGUGGGGUAAUGGCCUACCAAGCCGACGACGCGUAGCUGGUCUGAGAGGACGAUCAGCCACAGGGGUACUGAGACACGGACCCCACUCCUACGGGAGGCAGCAGUUAGGAAUCUUCCGCAAUGGGCGAAAGCCUGACGGAGCGAUACCGCUUGAAGGACGAAGCCCUUCGGGGUGUAAACUUCUGAACUCGGGACGAUAAUGACGGUACCGAGGUAAUAGCACCGGCUAACUCCGUGCCAGCAGCCGCGGUAAUACGGAGGGUGCGAGCGUUACCCGGAUUUACUGGGUGUAAAGGGCGUGUAGGCGGUCUCUCAAGUCCGAUGCUAAAGACCGAAGCUCAACUUCGGGGGUGCGUUGGAUACUGUGAGGCUAGACGGUCGGAGAGGGUAGCGGAAUUUCCGGAGUAGCGGUGAAAUGCGCAGAUACCGGAAGGAACGCCAAUAGCGAAAGCAGCUACCUGGACGAUUUGUGACGCUGAGGCGCGAAAGCGUGGGGAGCAAACCGGAUUAGAUACCCGGGUAGUCCACGCCCUAAACGAUGAGUGCUGGGUGUCCGACAUCUGUUGGGUGCCGUAGCUAACGCGUUAAGCACUCCACCUGGGAAGUACGGUCGCAAGACUGAAACUCAAAGGAAUUGACGGGGGCCCGCACAAGCGGUGGAGCAUGUGGUUUAAUUCGAAGCAACGCGCAGAACCUU